rnacentral:rRNA from 1 species
ACGGACCAAAGAGGGGGACCUUCGGGCCUCUCGCGUCAGGAUAUGCCCAGGUGGGAUUAGCUAGUUGGUGAGGUAAUGGCUCACCAAGGCGACGAUCCCUAGCUGGUCUGAGAGGAUGAUCAGCCACACUGGAACUGAGACACGGUCCAGACUCCUACGGGAGGCAGCAGUGGGGAAUAUUGCACAAUGGGCGCAAGCCUGAUGCAGCCAUGCCGCGUGUAUGAAGAAGGCCUUCGGGUUGUAAAGUACUUUCAGUCGUGAGGAAGGUUCAUGCGUUAAUAGCGUAUGGAUUUGACGUUAGCGACAGAAGAAGCACCGGCUAACUCCGUGCCAGCAGCCGCGGUAAUACGGAGGGUGCGAGCGUUAAUCGGAAUUACUGGGCGUAAAGCGCAUGCAGGUGGUUCGUUAAGUCAGAUGUGAAAGCC